rnacentral:lncRNA from 1 species
GCGGGGCCGCUGACUCCGGGAGCGGGCGGGGGCGGGGCCGCAGGCUCCAGUGGGAGGAAAGGGGCGGGGCCGCCGGCUCUAAGGGUGAGAGAGGGGCGGUGCCUCCUGCUCCAGGGGCAGAACGGCGGGCAGACUUUCUCUGGGUGAAGUCGAAGCUUCUUGGGCUACCCUCAUGCUCUGAGUCAGAGUUCCUUUACAGGUGGACCUGAGAGGUGACUCACCAACUCCUGCCCUGGACCCUCCUGCGCCACUGAACCCCCUGACCUGGGGGCCUCGGAACCUAGGGCUCAGGAAGUGGGGCGGCCGUGGGUCCCAUCAGGCUUUCCCCUCGGAUCCUCUCCAGGAUGAACCAGGACUUACCUGAGGUUACCAAGUGAACUUCUGGGAAAAGUCCAAUUCUCAGAUGCUAGAUGUCUUCCAAAAAUGAAGCAAAUUUGUAACUUAGUAGCUGAGUCAAGUAUUCCUGUUAGAUGGUCAACAUUAAUUUUUUAUUUUAUUUUAGUAUUUUUAAGUGGCAACUCUAGUGUGUAAGAAAAUGAAUGCGACAGCUGAAUUUGUAGAAAGCUUCUCUGACUCUCUUGGGCUCUGUCAUAAGCCCUGGAACGAAAUAAAAGUCUAGUGAAUACAGGGAAGCCCCCUUCUUUUUCUCCAUAUUUACCCCUCACCUUAACCAUAAUUUCACAUAAUUAACCACAUUUAAGGUGGUUGAUAAUAAAGUGGGAAUGUACAGGAUUCUUUUUAACCCUGAGUUAGCAAUCCAAAAAUUAGAAUUUGUUGCAUUCCUAGAACUAAGUUCAGGGUUCCUGAGCAGGUACUCAAGCAGACACAAAGACAAAACUUC